rnacentral:rRNA from 1 species
AGGAGCUUGCUCCUUUGACGUUAGCGGCGGACGGGUGAGUAACACGUGGGUAACCUACCUAUAAGACUGGGAUAACUUCGGGAAACCGGAGCUAAUACCGGAUAACAUUUGGAACCGCAUGGUUCUAAAGUGAAAGAUGGUUUUGCUAUCACUUAUAGAUGGACCCGCGCCGUAUUAGCUAGUUGGUAAGGUAACGGCUUACCAAGGCGACGAUACGUAGCCGACCUGAGAGGGUGAUCGGCCACACUGGAACUGAGACACGGUCCAGACUCCUACGGGAGGCAGCAGUAGGGAAUCUUCCGCAAUGGGCGAAAGCCUGACGGAGCAACGCCGCGUGAGUGAUGAAGGGUUUCGGCUCGUAAAACUCUGUUAUUAGGGAAGAACAAACGUGUAAGUAACUGUGCACGUCUUGACGGUACCUAAUCAGAAAGCCACGGCUAACUACGUGCCAGCAGCCGCGGUAAUACGU